UGGGGAAUAUUGCACAAUGGGCGCAAGCCUGAUGCAGCCAUGCCGCGUGUGUGAAGAAGGCCUUCGGGUUGUAAAGCACUUUCAGCGAGGAGGAAGGCAGUCGUGUUAAUAGCACGAUUGAUUGACGUUACUCGCCGAAGAAGCACCGGCUAACUCCGUGCCAGCAGCCGCGGUAAUACGGAGGGUGCAAGCGUUAAUCGGAAUUACUGGGCGUAAAGCGCACGCAGGCGGUUUGUUAAGUCAGAUGUGAAAUCCGCGCGCUUAACGUGGGAACUGCAUUUGAAACUGGCAAGCUAGAGUCUUGUAGAGGGGGGUAGAAUUCCAGGUGUAGCGGUGAAAUGCGUAGAGAUCUGGAGGAAUACCGGUGGCGAAGGCGGCCCCCUGGACAAAGACUGACGCUCAGGUGCGAAAGCGUGGGGAGCAAACA
rnacentral:rRNA from 1 species